rnacentral:lncRNA from 1 species
CGGGUAUCGAACCUCUUGCUUGACGAAACAAAAGAAAAGCGUAGUGUGUGUGUGUGUGUAUGUGUAUGUAUGUGAUCUCAUCUAAUAUUUCCUGGUAGGUCUACGAUACAAACUCGCCAAGUUUAUGGCAACCAUCUAGCUUGUCUAUGCGGGGAGACACUGUACCGUUAGUGUACUCAAUUGUAUCUUAUAAUUACAGCUCCUUGAUAGGCAAUGAAAUUUUAUGAUUGGUCAUUACGUAUUGACUCAACUACAAAGCGCCUUCUCUUCUUCCUGCCGUAAAACCGAGUCCUGGCAACGACGGACUGUGUCCAGACAUCAUUAGGUGACUUGGGACACAAUAGGACCAACCCCAAUCGAUAACCUUUGCCCCAUUGCGGAUCGUCUCUUCGCGGCAAUUACAGUAGUGUCAGUGUUUGUGUGCGAGUGUGUGUAGAUGCAUGCACGAACCGACGGCGAAGCGAAACUGGUGGAAUUCAUGAAUGUCAAUUGUAUGGCGUGGUGGGGACUUAAUGGACACGACAGCCAUGUAAAUCAAUAGGAAACUCCUGAUAAAUAUUUAAACAUCAUACAGUGCCGCUACUUUCCUCGGGACGUCCGUACGAGAUUUAUGGAUAAUAGAGAAGGGAGAAAAGAAGGGGGUUACAGGCUAAACACGGCAGCAAGAAAACUCCAUACUUUGAUCGUGUUGGACCUAAUGGUUGGUCGGACACCUGGAUUGCUUAAGCGGUCGCUACCUUUAGUCUUCGGGCGAUGUUCAUACAUACAGACUCGUUUGGCGUGUAUGCACCGCAUUCCGACCUCCCUCUCUCGUUUGGGAUUAAAAUGCGAAUUAAACAACCUCUGAAAGAAGGGCUUUGUAGUCCGUUAAGUCUGUUAGAUGCUGGAAUAUCUAUGGAAUCAACCGACUAGCGAAAGUGUUCAUUAAAUGCGCCGAUGUCUACGCGAUCCCAACUAACGAAAAUGUCUAUUAAAUAAGGAAGCAUUCCUGAUUAGCGAAAGUGUUUAUUAAAUGUAGAAACACUCGUGAACCCCUAACAAACAUGUUUAUUUUAAAUAUUGGAACGUCUAUGGGACCAGAUGACUAACAAAAGCAUCCAUUACAUUCAGGAGCAUCUUAUGGGAUCACAAAGAUUAACCAAAGUGGUCUAUUAAAUGCAGGAACAUCUGCAAGACUGAAAAUGUCUAUUAAAUACAGAAACAUCUAUGGGAUCCUCUGAUUAACGAAUAAGUGUCUAUGAGACCCCUGCGACUAUUAAAUGAAGGGACAUCUAUAGAAUCACCAGACUAGCAAAAGUGUCUAUUGUAUUUUAAAUGCAGCAGCAUCUGUGGGAUCUUCGAUUAACGAAGAAAUGUCUUAAAUGCAGGAGUAUCGAUGCAGUUAUUAAAUGCACGAUCAUCUAUGAGAUCAUAAGACUAGUGAGAGUAUCUAUUAAAUGAAAGAAUAUCUAUGAGACCUCAUAACAGAUGAAAUUAUGUAAUAAAUGCUGGGAUAUCUACGGGAUUCCUUGACAGAAACAAAACUAUCUUACAUGUAAAACAUCUAUGAGUUCUCAGUAUCUAUUAAACAAGAACAUCUAUGGAAUCACCAAAUUAGCGAAAGUGUUUAUUAAAGGCAUAACUUGUGUACGAUACCUGACGAAGAAAUCUCUUAAAUGCAGGAACAUCUAUGGGAUACUUGACGAAGAAAUGUGUUAAAUGCAGCAGCAUCUAUAGAAUACUGACUAAGAAAUCUCUUAAUGCAUGACAUCUAUGGGGUCAUCAGGCUACGAAAGUAUAGAAAUCUAUUAAAUGAAGCAGCAUCUACGGGAAUCCUGACUAAUGAAGAAGUACCUUAAAUACUAGUAUACAAUAGCUAUGAAAAUCACUGUAGUCAAAUGCAAAAUGCAACAACUAGCAUGAGCAUCAAUGAACUUUUAAACGCAUCUAUGGGUAUCGCAACAAAAAUCAGUGAAGAAGAAAAAGGAAAAAAAAAAAAACUAUAUCGUUCCAAAUCGCAAGAAAUAUAACUUUUUACCUUCGGAACUUACUCCCACUAAUUCGAUGCUUGUAAGAACAAGAGCGCAACAUCUAUUGUAAAAGUAAUUACGCCAUAAAAUACCAGACUUAAAUGGAUUGGUCGACUUAUUAUUUAACAUUUUAUAAAUACAGAAUUGAAAAGAAAGAAGAGAAGAAGAAGAAGAAAAAAAAAUAUCUUAGGAGCUUUGGCUUUUUAAUCAUUAGAAAAGACGACAGUAAUUCACCUAGACUUUAUUAUGCCAGGGUUCAUAAUUAAGGAAACAGUAAGAUCAACUCAACAAUCAGGACACAGGAUGUGUCGAGAGACGGGACCAAAGACUGUAAGAAAAAAGUAACAGCUUUCGCGCACACACACAACAACAUCCUCGCUAAUUCAGACUCGUCUUGCCCCUCUUCUUGUUCUUUUUUUUUCUAUUCUAGUACUUGCUCAGCCGUCUCAACCCAACCUCGUCUCUAGUGGCGUCAAUUUUCUUUCCAACAGCCUUACCAUCGAUGUGCAAGCAAGUAAUGACAGAUUACCCACACAGUGCUUGCCGUCUCUGGCAAUUACCACUAAUCUUCUCAUCCUGUCCAUCUCACACGUUUGGGGAUGAGGGGGAUGGAAGUGCAGUUUUAAUAAUGGACGUAAUUUCGGAUGAUUGCACAGUCACUACCCCGACCGUCUUGUCUUCAACCGUUUUCUCUAUAAUGAAGCUAUACGACGUUUUCAACUUAAUUGUUAAAAUACCGAUCAAUAGAACAACGUGGGUUCGACCCGUACAAGAUGAACGUAAGAUGGCCGACGUCUAGAGAGUUAAGAUUGCCAAUUGAUACCGCUCUUUUAAGGAUAAAAAUUCCUAUACGUCCAUUACCGGGAUCUCCAAACAGAUUAACUACAUCUCUUCCAGAAUCCUACGCUUAAACAGUUCCAUUUUAAAAAAUAAAACAAAAACGACGAUUAAAAAAAAAUAAUAAUAAUAAAAGUUUUAAUUAUUUUUAACCGCUAUCUUAUCAGAUUUGUCAUCAUCUCAGCUGAUGUUCAACAGGUUUGG